rnacentral:rRNA from 1 species
AGCAGCCGCGGUAAUUCCAGCUCCAAUAGCGUAUAUUAAAGUUGUUGCAGUUAAAAAGCUCGUAGUUGAAUUUCGGGAUUGGCGCAUCGGUCGUGCCUUACGGGGUAUGAACUGGUGCAGUCAAUUUCUCACCUUCUGGAGAACCGCGAUGUCCUUAAUUGGGGUGCCGCGGGGGAACCAGGGACCUUUACUUUGAAAAAAUUAGAGUGUUUAAAGCAGGCAUUUUUGCUUGAAUACAUUAGCAUGGAAUAAUAAAAUAGGACGGCAUGGUUCUAUUUUGUUGGUUUCUAGGACCACCGUAAUGAUUAAUAGGGAUAGUUGGGGGCAUUAGUAUUCAAUUGUCAGAGGUGAAAUUCUUGGAUUUAUUGAAGACUAACUACUGCGAAAGCAUUUGCCAAGGAUGUUUUCAUUAAUCAAGAACGAAAGUUAGGGGAUCGAAGACGAUCAGAUACCGUCGUAGUCUUAACCAUAAACUAUGCCGACUAGGAAUCAGACGAUGUUAAUUUUUAAUGUACUCGUU